CUUUGGCUCCUCUGACGAGUUCACAUCCACUUUAGGGUUUGGCUCCAAAGCCACGGGUCUUACUUACUCCAUAUUACCUGAAAAGAGCUACUUAUGCUCUGCAAACUUCCCCAGCCGCUGAGGUCAAUGGCAGCUCAUGUCGCGACCAUUCCAACGUUCUGAGGGAAAGGACAGAGGCCCGUGAUGCUUUUGGCUCCUUGGAACCCUUCUGCGGAAAUCCCUGCAACCACCAACCCAGCAUUUCUCAAAUCCCCUUUAAAUGUGUUCAUAUUUUCAAAACAGAGAGAGCAACAGUGAAUCUCAGCUGCUCGCAGGCCGCACCAGGAGGGAAGAGGCAGAAUUGCCCCCUUGACACGCGCGUCCCUCCGGUCUACAGGAUCCAGUUUUCUGCCAGCAGCAGCUCAUCGCUGAAAACCAAGAAGCUAUGAUAUUAAUCAUCAGCUGUAACCUCGAACAUCUCCCAACGCCAGGCAACAAACCCAAACAGAAUGUCUUGUGAUACUCUAGAAGUAUUGGUCCAAAAUAAACCAAAUAAAUUGUAUUUCUGGAAUGACA
rnacentral:lncRNA from 1 species